rnacentral:rRNA from 1 species
CUACGGGAGGCUGCAGUGGGGAAUAUUGGGCAAUGGGCGCAAGCCUGACCCAGCAACGCCGCGUGAGGGAAGAAGGUUUUCGGAUUGUAAACCUCUGUCCUUGGGGACGAAGAAGUGACGGUACCCAAGGAGGAAGCUCCGGCUAACUACGUGCCAGCAGCCGCGGUAAUACGUAGGGAGCAAGCGUUGUCCGGAAUUACUGGGCGUAAGGGGUGCGUAGGCGGCAUAUUAAGUCAGGUGUGAAAUACUCGGGCUCAACCCGGGGGCUGCAUUUGAAACUGAUAUGCUUGAGUGUGAGAGAGGAAAGUGGAAUUCCUAGGGUAGCGGUGGUAUGCGUAGAUAUUAGGAGGAACACCAGUGGCGAAGGCGACUUUCUGGCUCAUAACUGACGCUGAGGCACGAAAGCGUGGGGAGCAAACAGGAUUAGAUACCCUUGUAGUC